UGCGCAGGUGGGCUUGUAAGUCAGUGGUGCAAUACUGCCGCUUAACGGUAGAACUGCCAUUGAUACUGCAAGUCUUGAAUAUGGUUGAGGUAGGCGGAAUGUGUCGUGUAGCGGUGAAAUGCAUAGAUAUGACACAGAACGCCGAUUGCGAAGGCAGCUUACUAAGCCAUUAUUGACGCUGAGGCACGAAAGCGUGGGGAGCGAACAGGAUUAGAUACCCUGGUAGUCC
rnacentral:rRNA from 1 species